UGUGUAGUGAAUUCGAUUGUCUGUCGCGGCAAAAUACGUGCUAAUUGUGAGUAAUGGCUUUGGAAAUUGUGCAAAAGUAUUCCCAGAGAGCCCCGCAAGUGCUCUAGUGUGAAAAAUAUCUUGGGUUUGCCGUGAAAGUGUGAUAAAAUGGUGUGCAAAGUGAACCUACAAGUGGUGUGAGUUGUUUUAAAACACGAGACAUAGACAGCACUUUUGGUCAGUUUCUAGAGAAAGUUGUGCAUUCCGGGUGGGCAGAAGGAGGAGGUAGUUUUCAGGGCCAUAUUCGGGAAGAAAAAAAGGGGAUUGUAGACAGGAUGAAGCAGAUAAAUAUUUCCAUUGUCGGGAUGUCCGGCACUGAGAAGGAGCGCGGACAGAUUGGCGUGGGCAAAUCUUGCCUCUGCAAUCGUUUCGUUAGACCACUAACCGAUGAUUACUUCAUCGAUCACAUAUCAGUAUUAAGUCAGUCUGACUUUUCUGGACGUGUUGUCAACAACGAUCACUUUCUCUAUUGGGGUGAUGUGAAGAAGACAUCCGACGAAGGUGUCGACUAUGUCUUUCAUCUGAUUGAACAGACAGAAUUUAUGGAUGAUGCCACAUUCCAGCCCUUCAAAGUGGGCAAAAUGGAGACUUAUAUGAAGCGCUGUGUGGCCACAAGGGUGGCCUCAGCGGAGAAAAUGAUGUACAUUUGCAAGAAUCAAUUGGGAAUUGAGAAGGAGUAUGAACAGAAAAUUCUACCAGAUGGACGUCUCAAUAUUGAUGGGUUUAUCUGUGUUUUCGAUGUUAGUACAGUGCCCAAUCGAAGUGUUGAGAAACAGGUGGAUUUUGUGUGCAACAUCAUUAAUAAUUUGCUCAAGACAAAAAAGCCCGUAUUGUUGGUCACCACAAAGAAUGAUGAGGCCAAUGAAUUGUAUGUGAGGGAAGCGGAAAAAAUUUGCCAACGAAAAGAAUAUAAAGGGAAUAUAUUGAUGGUUGAGACAUCAUCACAUGAGGGUAUCAAUAUAGAUAUGGCUUUUAUUGCUCUAGCCCAGAUGAUUGAUAAAACUAAGCAAAGAACGAAAAUUCUCACGUAUCAUGAAGCUGCUAGGAUGCGCAAGGAACUUCUUGAUACGAGUACAGAAGCUGUGACAAAAUUGAUAAGGGGUCAAAUAUCAGAUUAUCAUACACUGUGGUCACAGGGUUCAAAAUCACUGGCUGUUCAUAAAGAAUGGCAGGAUUUUAUUGAGCUUUUUGGCCAGGAAGCUGGUCAGAGAAUUUUUCGGAGGCAUAUUAAGAAAUUGCGUGAGGAAAAUGUGACAAAGCGUCUUCAUCAAUAUAUGGAAAAUUUCUCAUGUGCUCUCCAGGAUCUCAUACCCGAUAUGAAUUCACUCAGUGUUGAAAUUAGUGAUGACUGGACACUUGUUCAGAAUUAUCUAAAGACUCAUAUUGAUUUUGAUCAGUACUUUUUUGAGUGUCAUCAAGCACCAUGGACAGAUUUAAGUGAUGUCAGUGAUACUGAAGAUGAUUCACGGAUACCCUUUGAUGUCCUAGAUACACCAGAAGCUGAGACUGUUUUUAAAAAUCAUGUCAAUGCUCUGCAGCAGGAACAGAAGAGGCUAGAAUGGAAGAAGCAGUUUAAGAAGCUCCUAGAGGAGACAGGCUAUGUGACUCCGGGCAAGCAAUUGUCUGAAGUGCGUGUCCUGUUUAUGGGUCGUGAGUGUUUUGAGGCACUGUCUGAGCAUGAUUGUCAGCAAAUUUAUGAUAAUCAUCAGCGUGAGAUAAUUGAGAAGGCAAAGCACAAUUUUCAGGAAUUGUUACUUGAGCAUGCUGAUCUUUUUUACCAUUUUAAAAGUAUUGAUCCAUCGGGUACAAUAACUCAGGAUGAUAUAAAGGAGAUCACAGAUGUAUUGCAGGAAGAUUUGAGGUAUAAAAUGCUGGAUAGAUUGGAUCAGGAUAGGAAAUUGAUGUUAUUUCAGCAUUUGGGUUUUGUUCAUUGUCCCAUACGGGAACACUGUCCGGCCUUUCCUAAUUGCAUGGAUGCUCUAAUUGAGCGAAUUAUUACGGCUAAGAAGGCACAGAGUUUACCAAGAAGGGGAGGAGGAGGUGUUGGGGCUCAGUGGAAGCAGUCACAGAAGAGUGAUGAGACAAAUUUGAAUUUGUUGAUAUUGGGAGCUGAACAUCUAGCGGGGGAUUUAAUUAAUGAAAUUUGUUUGAAUUGCGGUGAUGAUGGGGAAUACAUCUACGAUGGUCAAACGCAUUUUCUUCAGACAAAAAUAAUUGAUGGCAAUAUGGAGAGUUUUAAAUCGAUAGAUUUUCAAUCAAGUGGAUUGGUUUGUGUCUAUGCUAAUCAGAUGUCCUUUGAGUAUUUGAAGGAGAGCCUCGAGAAGAGUUUGCUGUGUAAUCUCGAACUUGAAGAUAAAUUUGAGAAUUUACCCCUUGUUCUGGUGUAUCAGCCGGAAGAUACGAAAUUGGAGGAGACAGAAAUUGAAUUGUUGAGAAGUGAGGGGCAUCAAUUAGCUGAUUUACUGCAUGGUCUCUUUAUUGACACCUCACUCAAUUUCUAUCAUCAUCGUCAGAGUCAGCAUCAAAAUUACAUUUAUGACAUUAUUAAUCAUUUAAUUGAAUGUCUCAAAUCACUCGAUCCAAAACCCGAUGAUGAUCCCUUCAAUAUGAAUCCAGAUAUUCGAAUAAUUCUCUGUAUGUUCUGUGGUGAUCCAUUUUCGGUGGAAAAUGUUCUGAGUACCCUCAUCACUGAUGCUUCCUGUACACUGUCAAGUGAACGAAGUCUCAUUCUAGAGACAUUUUUGGGCGAUACAAAACGUCGAAUUGAGAUAAUUGUGUCAUCAUAUCAUGGAGCAAAUGCUUUUCGUGAUGAACUUGUACAUGGAUUCAUAUUGCUGUAUUCGACCAAGAGGAAGGCAUCAUUGUCCACCCUAAAUGCAUUUUCCAUGAAUAUUCCAAAUUUGCCCAUGCAAAUAAUGGCCAUUACGUCAGAGGGUGGAAGUGCCAGUGCUUUCUUUAACAACGAAAUGUGCCAGAUGCUCAUGACUGAGGGUAACGCCAUUGCUGAUCGACUCAGGGCGCACUUUAUGACAUCAGCCACGGGAAAUCAGCUCAAAACUUCCCUCUUCCUUGCAGUGGCUUUCUAUACGCCCUUCCUCAAGGAAGUCUGGGACAAGAAGCCCGAAAUCGAACAGGCCUUCCAUAUGGAGGAGCCAGUGACAUUGGAUUCGGGUGAGGGAACUCUUGAGCACUCAAUGCACCACCAUUUGCCCCAACCACCGCCACGGCACGAGAGUUACAUGCUGAAGAAUAAUCACGAUGGGUCAGGAAGUGAAAAUUAUGAGCAUCUCCCAACACGAUCUCUCAACUCACUCAAUGGGCCGGAUGACAACAUUAAGCUCAAUCUCAAUGACAACAGCGAAAAAUAUCCCCAUUUGUACAUGCUGGGGGAAAAGGAUAUGGGAAUUGAUGAUACCUACAUGAAUGACGAUGAUAAAGACGAGAAGAGUCGCUUGAUACAUCAAGGUUGGCUGGAUGAUGCUCUCUUUAUUGGUCGCGAUGGUGAUAAGAGGGAUGGAAGUGGUGGCAAGAGGAGUGUUCUGUGGAAUAACUUUGGUGCGCACCAUGCUUUUACAACUGGAAGGCGACAAAAUGAGUCAUCAACAUUUGGCAAUAAAGUGAGACCAAAGGGACCCAGUCAGACACUAAAGCAACCCGGAAAGCUGAACCUCAAGAACUUUGCCAUCGUCAAUGAUGCCAUAGCACGUAUGAAUGUGAACAGUGACGGAGGCAAUGACGGUAGGAAAGUCGGUAGGGAACGUGAAAAGAAACCCAAAGGCUCAAUAUUCGAUCAUGCCCCUUUGGCAGCUCCCGAGGAUGAUUCCGAUGAACUGGCUGAGGCGGGAUAUAGUCAAGUGAAGGAGGUGUAUCCGGGUGGUGGCAGUGGAAGUGUCGAUGAUCAGCAAUUGUACAAUUAUGCCCUCGAUACAACACCCAACAAGUCCAAGUUGCGCCAUCGACGCGAAAAGGAGCAACAGAAAUAUUCAGAUACAGACAGUGAAUCGAGUUCACUGGAGAGAAAGAACAAUCGGGGCUUCGAUGGGUACUACAAGAUGAAUCGCAAAGCACAGACGCACAAGAGGAUCCGGAAGAAGCGAACGGCAAUUCCGGUGCAACCACCAAAGGUGCCAUUUGGCACGUACGUGAGCCCUCCGGAGAUUCCAAUGUUGUACCAAAGAAUGAAGGCUGGGGAGCAGACGAAGAAACUGCUGCCGGGAAUGGUGGAGAAGCAUGCUGAGGAGGAAUCGAGCAUUGAUGUGUCUUCGCCACGUGACAAUAAUUCGCCCAUUUUUGGUGUUGUGCCCAAAAUUGUGAAGAUGAGUGACAGGGAGAAGUUGAUUGAGCAGAAAUGUGGUGAGAAGCAGAAGAGUCAGAAGGAGACGGAGAAGAUGGAAAAGAGACGUGCCAAGGAGGAUGCAGCCAAAAUGAGAAAGAUGUUGGACAAGGAGAAGGAGCUGGAGAAGAGGAAUAAGCGAAAGUCGAAGCAAAGUGGAAAAGUUGGUGGUGAUGCUCCAGCACCAACAUUGCCUGAUUUUAUUCAGUCUGAUAAGAAUAUUCCACUCUUCCUUGAGAAAUGUAUCCAAUUUAUUGAGCAAGAAGGUCUUGAUUCUGAGGGUAUUUAUCGUGUUCCUGGAAAUCGAGCUCACGUUGAGCUCCUCUAUCAGAAAUUUGAAGAAGAAGAAAAUGUCGAUAUCGAAACAUUAGAUAUUCCUGUUAAUGCUGUAGCUACUGCUCUCAAGGAUUUCUUCUCCAAACGCUUACCACCGCUCUUUGAUGAGGACCUAAUGACUGAAUUGGAGGACAUUGCUGGUUCGCGGGGAAUGGCUUCAAAUACGCUGAGUAUGGAGGUUAAAACUGAUCGUAGUUGUCGUUUACUUGCUCUCCGUGGACUUCUCAAUAAGAUGCCAUCGAUAAAUUUUGCCAUAUUGAAGUACAUUUUCCAGCAUUUUGUCAGAGUAUCUGAGAAUGCAAAAUUGAACAGCAUGGACAGCAAGAAUUUAGCCAUUUGCUGGUGGCCUACACUUAUCCCAAUUGAAUUUAACGAUAUGGGACACUUUGAGCAACUCAGGCCAUAUCUUGAGGACAUUGUUCAAACAAUGAUUGAUCAAUAUCCAUUCCUCUUUUGUGGUAAGGAGGCUUUUGUGAUGGUGUGAAAUAAGGAGAAUGCAUCAUAAUCAUCAUUUCAUCGAUAAACGUCAUUCAUUGUUGUUAGAAUGAAUUUGUCUCACAAACAUAAUAAUUAUUCCAGUAAUAAUAAUUAAAAAAAUAAAUAAAUGUGCGUGUGCGAAUUGAGACAGAGAGAGUAUGCUUUGUAAGUUUUUUUCUUAUAACUUGUUGUGAAAGAAAUAAUAAAGCUUUAAUUAUUAUCGGAAUGUGAACAUGGAAUAUUGGAUAGAAAGAUUUUGCCAUAUUUUUCCUUUUGAAAAAAAAAGAAUAAUUUUAAUCAACGGACAUUACUUGUGCUAAAAUGGAUUUUUAAAAAUAAUUUGCAAUAAUUUUUAAGAGAUUUCUUUGUCUCUCUUCGAUGGAUGUUGAUUAUUAAUCAAUGUUCCCUCGUGAAAUUUUUUGCACUGUCCUCCACUAAAACAAUUAAUGGCUAUGACGAAUUAAUAAAAAUUGACAUCCUAUGUAUAAAAAGAAUAUUUUGAAAGUGAAAUACUCAAUUAAAAAGCAAGAAAGAAAAAAA